AUUGAACGCUGGCGGCAUGCUUUACACAUGCAAGUCGAACGGUAACAGGGUGCUUGCACCGCUGACGAGUGGCGAACGGGUGAGUAAUGCGUCGGAACGUGCCGAGUAGUGGGGGAUAACGCAGCGAAAGUUGUGCUAAUACCGCAUACGUACUGAGGUAGAAAGUGGGGGACCUUCGGGCCUCACGCUAUUCGAGCGGCCGACGUCUGAUAGCUAGUAGGUGAGGUAAAGGCUCACCUAGGCGACGAUCAGUAGCGGGUGUGAGAGGAUGAUCCGCCACACUGGGACUGAGACACGGCCCAGACUCCUACGGGAGGCAGCAGUGGGGAAUUUUGGACAAUGGGCGAAAGCCUGAUCCAGCCAUGCCGCGUGUCUGAAGAAGGCCUUCGGGUUGUAAAGGACUUUUGUCGGGGAGGAAAUCCCCAGCGUUAAUACCGCUGGGGGAUGACAGUACCUGAAGAAUAAGCACCGGCUAACUACGUGCCAGCCGCCGCAGUAA
rnacentral:rRNA from 1 species